AUGAUGAUGAUGAUAAUAUCGACAUCUGGGUGGAUGUGGAUAUGCCUCCAGUUUUACCUAGAUAGGCUCCCGAAGCAGUUUGUGCCUGCCAUGCUAUUUACCGAAGGUGAUAUGCAUAUGGUUAGCUUACGACCAACUCCUUCGGAGGCUUACCAUAUUGCAUACUCAAUUUCUUCAAAUGAUGGAGGGCUCAAAAUCAAAGAAUGGAGCAAAGUGAUGAAUGCGCACAAGCAAAUAAUUGGAGACAAAAUGAAUGUGCGCAAGACACAAGUUGGAGAUAGGUUUAUGUCCAUUCUCCAAUAUGGUGAAGGACCGGUUUAUCUGUUUUAUGGUAUUUUAGCUAGGAGAGAGGAGUAG
rnacentral:rRNA from 1 species